UCCCGGUUGGCCCGGGCAGUCUCGUGUGAAAAAUACAACACACAAUAAGGGUUGCGCUCGUUGCGGGACUUAACCCAACAUCUCACGACACGAGCUGACGACGGCCAUGCAAUACCUGUCACUGGGUUCCCGAAGGCACGUCCACCUUUCGGCGGACUUCCCAGGAUGUCAAGCCUCGGUAAGGUUCUUCGCGUAGCAUCGAAUUAAACCACAUGCUCCACUGCUUGUGCCGAGCCCCGUCAAUUCCUUUGAGUUUUAAUCUUGCGAUCGUACUCCCCAGGCGGCACACUUAACGCGUUAGCUUCCCAGCACAGAGGGUCGAUACUCCAUACUAGUAGUGUGCAUCGUUUACGGCGUGGACUAC
rnacentral:misc_RNA from 1 species